UAUCUCAUUUUUAAUUCUCCCUUUCUUGUAAUUCCUUGCUCACCGAUUGGAGUGGGAAGGAAGGGACAUGGCACGAACUAAUGGCGGAUUCGAGAGAGAAGCAUGGAAAGCUAAUCCUUCCAUGGCUUUGGUUCAAUUCGUCAAUGGAGGCUAUCAUGUAAUUACCAAAGUAGCCCUCAAUACUGGUAUCAACCAGCUUGUUUUCUGCGUUUCCCGUGAUCUCCUUGCUCUCUCAAUUCUUGCGCCCAUCGCCUAUGUUACUGAAAGAAGGAUUCGACCUCCUAUGACUAAACGUGUCCUCCUAUCAUUCUUCUUUCUUGGGUUAACUGGGUGAGUAUCACUUUAUCUGAACAAAUCCUGGUUGAUCUGGGAAUAUGUUAUACUCGGAUUGUGCCUGAUUGGUCAACUGGAAUAGUAUAUUCGGGAACCAGCUUUUAUUCCUCGUUGGUCUGAGCUACACGAAUCCAACUUACGCCACCUUCAAUUCCAGUCUUUACCUUUCUCUUUGCUGUAAUGAUGGGUACAGAAAGAGUGAAUUUGCUCAAAACUGAAGGUCAAACAAAGGUUGGAGGUACCAUAAUCUGUGUUUCUGGCGCAUUGUUAAUGGUUCUGUUUCGUGGUCCGGCUUUGCUUGGACAGCCGAAUUGAGACUUUGCUGCCCAAGGUGACAUAAGCCGAAUGAUGGCUUAUGUCUAGUUUUCUCGAGUCUGGACUUGAUCAUUGGCAUAUCAGAGUUCUAUGCUUGAUAGUGAACUGUAUUUGCAUGGCUGCUUUCCUGGCCAUUCAGGUAUGCUAUAUGCUUGAUGGUUCUGUUCUUUGCUUGUGCGAAUCGAAAAGAAAUCUCUUUGAGUAAAACUAAAGAGGAAACGGCCUGUGUGGUCUUGAAUAUGAUUUGGCAUCAUUUCUUGUCACCAAUGAGUCAACAGAUUGGCAUCUGAAACGGUCGGAGCUUUUUGCCGUCGUGUAUGCUGGAGUUGCAACAUCGGCUCUUAACUACGGACUUGUGUCAUGGUCGAAUAAGAUCUUGGGGCCGGCUUAUGAACCAG